rnacentral:rRNA from 1 species
GAGUUUGAUCCUGGCUCAGGACGAACGCUGGCGGCGUGCUUUACACAUGCAAGUCGAGCGAUGAGAUCCCUUCGGGGAAGGAUUAGCGGCGAACGGGUGAGGAACACGUGAGGAAUCUGCCUUCAACACUGGGAUAACUCCGGGAAACCGGGGCUAAUACCGGAUACGAGACCUGCAGGCAUCUGCGGGUCUGGAAAGUUUUUCGGUUGAAGAUGACCUCGCGGCCUAUCAGCUUGUUGGUGAGGUAAUGGCUCACCAAGGCGACGACGGGUAGCCGGCCUGAGAGGGCGACCGGCCACACUGGGACUGAGACACGGCCCAGACUCCUACGGGAGGCAGCAGUGGGGAAUAUUGGGCAAUGGAGGGAACUCUGACCCAGCGACGCCGCGUGCGGGAUGAAGGCCUUCGGGUUGUAAACCGCUUUCAGCAAGGAAGAAGCGAAAGUGACGGCACUUGCAGAAGAAGCACCGGCUAACUAUGUGCCAGCAGCCGCGGUAAUACAUAGGGUGCAAGCGUUGUCCGGAAUUAUUGGGCGUAAAGAGCUCGUAGGUGGUUCGUCACGUCGGAUGUGAAAAUCUGGGGCUUAACCCCAGACCUGCAUUCGAUACGGGCGAGCUAGAGUGUGGUAGGGGAGACUGGAAUUCCUGGUGUAGCGGUGGAAUGCGCAGAUAUCAGGAGGAACACCAAUGGCGAAAGGCAGGUCUCUGGGCCAUUACUGACACUGAGGAGCGAAAGCGUGGGGAGCGAACAGGAUUAGAUACCCUGGUAGUCCACGCCGUAAACGGUGGGCACUAGUUGUGGGAACCUUCCACGGUUUCUGCGACGCAGCUAACGCAUUAAGUGCCCCGCCUGGGGAGUACGAUCGCAAGAUUAAAACUCAAAGGAAUUGACGGGGCCCCGCACAAGCAGCGGAGCAUGCGGCUUAAUUCGACGCAACGCGAAGAACCUUACCAAGGCUUGACAUAUACAGGAAUAUGGCAGAAAUUCCAUAGCCGCAAGGUCUGUAUACAGGUGGUGCAUGGUUGUCGUCAGCUCGUGUCGUGAGAUGUUGGGUUAAGUCCCGCAACGAGCGCAACCCAA